UUAUUAAUUUUGACAACGCCAUCCAUUACUUAUCUAGACUCUGCAGAGUUCGCGGUAGAACCGUCUUCGGGGCAUUCUUUUGGUGAAACCUGAUGGUGUUUGGGGGGACAACUUGACCCACAAUCAAUGUCGCGCCAAUAGGCAUCUCAAACCCCAGUCCGAGUCUUGACUCAAACGCGUCAACAUUGAAGCACGUCGAACUUUCUAUUUGUAAAGAUCGCUGACGUAUCUACGGUCAAUAUUUUUCAAAACUGCAUCGACCCAAUGUUAUCCUAUUAAGUGACUUGAUAAAUUGUGGAAAAAAGUGAUUGUACCAUAAAAUUUCUAUUUUAAAUUUAUUUUGACUAUAAGAUUUAUUAUGUUGAAGUUGCUACUACUGACAAUAUGUACAAUAGGCAAUAUAAUUUCCAUACAAGCUUUUCCAUACGUAAGAAAACAAUCGAAUAUUUUCACAAUAACAGCGGACGAUCCCGACCCAGAUACGGAAGAAUUAUACACGGACGAUUGGGAUUAUAAAUUAAAGCAAAACCGAAUACCAAUUUUGACAAAUUUGUACAGGAAUCAUACACUCCCACCGACAGCCAAUGGCAGUGGCCGUCUUCUGUGGGAAUUGGACCAAGAAAAAUCCACGCAUCUGCCGCAAUUCUUUGACAAAGCGUUAAAGUUGCUGAAUUUAAAACAAGUAGCGUAUGAAAUUGAAAAUUCUGUUAUGAGUAAAGUUUCGUGUACAGCUUGUAAAGCAGGAGCAGGUUUGUUACAACAUUAUAUUAAAACAGGAAGAUCCGAGAAGGAUAUUAAAAAAACCAUUUACCAUUUUUGUGUGAAUUUGAAGAUACAAUCACCUAGGGUGUGUGAAGGAAUCACAGAGUUAUUUGCAGGAGAAGUAAUUUACGUACUGGGGAAAGUAAAGAUGGGUCCUGACGAAGUGUGCAGUUUCGUUAUAGGCGACGCUUGUGGAGAUAUAUAUAAUCCUUACCAUGAAUGGGAAGUUCUAUUUCCUCCUGUACCAAAACCAACAGUAGCUGAAACAAAGAUACCUGAGGCUAAUGCUCCUACUUUCAAAGUUCUACAUCUUUCGGAUACCCAUUAUGAUCCUUAUUAUAUGGAAGGAAGUAAUGCAGAUUGCGCCGAGCCUCUUUGUUGUAGACUAACAAAUGGAUUAGCUUCUUCGAAGGAAACGGCGGCUGGAAAGUGGGGAGACUACAGAAAAUGUGAUACCCCGAAAAUAACAGUAGAUAACAUGUUACAGCAUAUUCAAGAAACGCACUCGGACAUAGAUUACAUUCUUUGGACUGGAGACUUACCCCCACACGAUAUCUGGAAUCAAACAAGAGAAGAGAAUUUGAAAACUUUGAAAGAUACGGUAAAUCAAAUGUCAAGUAUGUUUCCGGGAAUACCAAUAUUUCCAGCAUUAGGCAAUCAUGAAUCUGCUCCUGUUAAUAGUUUUCCUCCACCAUAUGUAACCACACCAGAAAGUUCUAUAUCUUGGCUGUAUGACGAAUUGGAUGUACACUGGAGGAAAUGGCUACCUAGUUCAGUUAGUAACACAGUCAGAAGAGGAGCUUUUUAUUCAGUUCUUAUUAGACCAGGAUUUCGACUUAUCUCCUUAAAUAUGAACUAUUGUAAUAACAAAAAUUGGUGGUUACUACUGAACAGCACAGAUCCAGCAACGGAACUUCAAUGGUUCAUAUACGAACUUCAGUCAGCGGAAUUCAAUGGAGAAAAGGUGCAUGUAAUAGGUCAUAUUCCACCUGGUCAUUCCGAUUGCCUGAAAGUCUGGUCAAGGAAUUAUUAUGCUAUCGUCAACAGAUACGAAACAACUAUAACUGCCCAAUUUUUCGGGCACACCCAUUAUGAUGAAUUCGAAGUGUUUUACGAUAAAAAAGAUUUAUCUAGAGCAAUCAGUAUUGCCUAUGUAGGACCAUCGGUUACUCCUUAUUAUGAUUUGAAUCCAGGGUACAGAAUAUAUUACGUAGAUGGUGAUCAUGAUAAAUCUACUAGAGCUGUUGUGGACCACGAAACGUGGACAAUGAAUCUUCGUGAAGCGAAUGUUUAUGGAUAUCCACUGUGGUUUAAGCUUUACACUGCAAGACAAGCUUUUGGUUUAGAUGCGUUAAGACCCCAAGAUUGGGACGAACUUGUUACCAAAAUGACCAAUGAUCCUAAGUUAUUUGAAUUAUUUUAUAAGUAUUAUUACAAAGCAAGUCCGGUAAGACCGAGUUGUGAUAUCGCGUGUAAAAAGAAAAUAUUAUGUGAUCUACAUUCGGGUCGAUCACAUGAUAGAAAAAAUUUGUGUGAAAAUAUUGAGUCAAGAAUAGAUUCUACCUCCAACGUUAGCUGGAGGGAAUGGUUCUAUAACACCAUAUCAGUUUCGAAAUGGGUUUCGAGAAUUUUUCCAUGGAUUUGAAGAAUUGCAGUAGACAUUUCUACAUCUGGAUAUCAGAGAGGUAUAAGGGUGGAACAAACUACUAAGAGCAUUUGUAUAUAACUUAUAGCGUGUCAAUGUUGAUGUCUAUCCCAAGACUAACCAUACAACUACCAAAAUACGUGUUGGGACUCGGAUAAAAUGGUUAAACUAGUUUUUAAAUGGAUUUCUAAAAGUGAUUCAAGUCGUGGUGGAAUGAGUGAAAAACAAAAAGAAAUUAUUUAUUAUUAUAAUUAUUUACUUAGAUAAUGUUGAAGAAGUUAAAGCUUAAGGUAUAAUUCAGUUAGUUACACUGUUUUAUUUGUUUUUAUUGUGACAACAGUCGACACUCUUUCACUUUUUCAAACAUAUAAAGGCGGUUCAGUAAGUUUUUUUUCAACCUAUGAGCUCUACUAAGGGCGGUUCAGUAAGUUUUUUUCAACCUUUGGGCUCUACAUAUAUCAAAUGUCUGUCUAACUGUAUAAUAAAAAAAACAGAUUUGUUGAAAUCAUCAAAUUAGGUAUUAUUAUUAGGUAUUAUUUGAUUGUAACAUAAUUUUUUUGUAAGUCUUCAGAUUUGUAGACAAGUAAUAAUCGGGGCUGAGUCCUAUUCGAAUGGAAGACGACCUAAUUUUUUGCUUAAUACAACGCCUUUUAAUAUAAAAACUGCACGUGUAUGCACCUUUGCAUUCCACCUGUACGAACUUUUUUUGCCAAAUGCAGUUAUUAGGUAUCUGGAUCAAAGCAAAACAAUUCAAGAUGCCACAUGAUUGCGUUUCUUGUCGAUCAUGAUCAAACGCAGAAAGAUUUAUCGAAUCCAAGUCAUUACUCAAAAUUUGAACCACUGAGUAAUGUCGUCGUAAUGGCUUCCAUAAUUUCUUGUACUUGUCUGAUCGGUCAAUACCAUAUCGUAUUUUUUUAAAUAGUUGUGAGUUAACUGGACAUUUGAAUUGAACACAGAAAACCAAGCUUAGGUUUUGGGCAAUGGUUUAUUUUUACAAACAAAAUGAGUACACGAAAGUUACUUCUUUCCACUAUCUCCUCAAAUCACGAUGUAAGUCUACUAACACUAAUAUUGAUACUGUUGCUUAUGUAAUGUUCAUCUGUCUGUAAAUGUUUAUAAGAACGAAUUGAUAUGAAUUUUUAAUGUUGGACGGAUCAGAUUAACUCGACAAUGAUUGAAAAUACAGUUGCAAUAACCAAUUGAAUUUCUGAAUUAAAUAGUUUGCUUUUAAAGUCUUCAAUAAAAUUAUCUGCCAUGAGCUGAUUCAAUCAUAAAAUGAAAAUGUGUAGAUAUUGAAAACUAGCCGUUAUUUCAAUCAGAAUAAUAUAGGAAUGCUUGUUUUUUCAGUAAACUUUAUCAUGAACUUAAAAAAUAUAAAUCAUAUAACAUAAUGUUUCGGACACUAUCCCGAUUGCAAGAUAUUAAAAUCUGAGUGUAAAGGAUUGAAAAUUAUGCGGAUAAAUUCUAAUCAAGGGGGGAAAUAGUUUUUGAUAAAUAAUUUUUUUUAUAAUAAAUUGUGAGAGGUUUAAUAUACUUCAAAGUACAUUUUUAAUAUCUGAACUAUACCUUAGGCUAAAAUUCUGUAAUAAGUGGUCUAUAAACAUUCAAAUUACAUCUGACUCAUAAUUUUUUGUUUUUAUAAGUUGAUUCUCACAAUACUAUUGUCCUAAUGCUUCAAGGUACGUCCGGAGCAAAGUGCUAAAGCAAACAUUGACUUUAUUCAUCAUCGUAGUUUUCAUUAAUUAUUCCUAUCCAAUGUAUGAGAUCUACAAAUAACAUGAAUAAUAAAUAUUUUUUUACUGUUAUUAUGUAUCACUUUAUACAAUCUAAUGUUUCUCAACGAAAAGGGGCCCCAUAAUUCUGGGUGGAUGGCACCAGGUCUUCUAAAUGAGAAAAACUAUAAUUACCAUGAACAUAAUUUGUGUGGUCCCCUUGGAUAAGUUCCGUCCUGAAUUUUUUAUGAAAAUGUCUCGUUAAAAAUCACUAAGGGACAUUUUGUAGUCAUCUCGACGACGAAAUGUAAUUAUUAACAGAAUUGAUUUCUCAGAAAUGUUAUUUCUAUUGCAUGCGAAAAGCAAAAAAACACCGUUUUGAUAAUGAGACGAUGUGCAUAGGUUGACGUAUUUUGACCUUUAGUGGUCAAAGUUCCUCAGGAAGGAUCUAAAAUGCUUAUGACCGGAUAAGAUAACGUUUGGAGCGUUAUGAAAGUUUAGAUGUUAUAGUUUUAAAUUGUAAAGACCACUUAGUACGUCACUAAUACAUUUCACUUAAAUAUAUUCUAUAUUUCUAUAUUUAAGUUCAAUAUUACUUCAGAAACAAUAAGUUUACACUGAAAGAUCGCUGGUAUAAUCCUUAAAAAAUUGUGUUAUCCGGAAAAAAAUUCUACAAAUUAUCUCAAUGUUUAUUACGACCACCUGUUAAGGUAACAGCUGAUCUAGCAUUAAACUGAUUUUUAUACCACUCGCUAAUUUUGUAGUACAAUAUUAAAAAAUAUUAUCUUUAAAUAUAAUACCCCCUAGGGGUGAACAUUGAUCAUGCUAUCUCCUUAGAAUUACAGAUAACAACUACUAACCUUGAUGUUAGAUUUCUAUUGAGAGGAUUUUAUACAGGAAGAUUGUUUUUUCAUCUUGGGAUCAUAAUCACAGACCUAACUGUCAUUUCCAUUGAUUUUUGAGUAUUUUCCUUUGUAUAUCUUUUUGGAACCGUUCUAAUAUCCCGUAGGGGUGAACAUUGAUUAUGCUAUCCACACAGAAUAUCAUAAAACAACCACUAAGACCAUGAUGUUAAAUUUUUAUUAACAGGAGUUCUUAGAGGAAGAUUGGGCAUUGGUUUUCUAUCUUAGGGUCAUAAUCAUACACCCAACUGUCCUAAUUUCGAAAAUAACUACUUCAUAAGAUAUUUUAAGUUCUUUAAUAUGAGUUUUAUGAGCUUCUAUGACCCUUUUUUCAACUUGAAACAUAAUUUAAUGUCAAUAUGUAUAUCAAUCCAUGUUUCACUGCACUAUAGUACCUAUAUUAACAGUCCUACAAGCCAAAAUCAGUACAAUCUGCUUGUCUUAACACUUCUUUUGCCUUUUUUACAUCUUGGAAUAAAAUUUAGUGUUGAUACAUGUUUCAAAACUUAUUUUAUUGUAGAAACUGUGUUAAAAUGGCUGCAUUAGCAAAUUCACAACUUGGAAUAGGUUUUAGCACAUUUUAUGAGCUGCUUUCAACGUGGGACAUAAUUUAAUGUCAAUAUGUAUGUUAAUCCAAGCUUCAUUGUCCUAAAGUAGCCAUAUUAUUAGCAGACCUGCAAGCAUAUGUCACUGACGAAACUUCCACUAAGCUUCAGACAUGAAAUAAAUACAGAUGAGCUGAAUGACAAUUGUGGGAUUCAUUGAUGUAAUGAGAAGAUUCAAAAGAAUUUCAAAGUCCGAGUUUAUUACUGAAGUGCCACACUGAACCAAAACUGUAUAAUUCAACCUAGUACUCGUGACUUUCACAUUGAUUUUGUAUUUGAAUAAUGAAUAAACUUUGUGACCAAACCAAACUGCUUGGAUCUUUAGCUCAAGCCUCUUCUAUAUAGAUUGUUUUUUUACCCAAUAUCAUAUCUAGUUUUCGUCUAUCUAAAUCUUACUCUUUAUUAUUCAGUGGUCUUCUUACUAUAAUUCUAGCUUAAUAAAUUAAUUUAUAUUCUUCCUUUUACCGCAUAUUUACAUUUCGUCUCUGUACUCAGUAUUUCAAUUCAAGGUUUUUAUAUAAUUUAUGUUUCUGUCAGUAUUUAUUAUGGAGAUAGUGAAAUUUUUUUUGGUACAUACGUUUUUGCUUUAAAAUACGUUUUUUUCUACAGAAGAGAUUUGUAUUUACUUUUAUAAAUAAAUAAUCGGUCUUUCAGUGUAUCAAUUUUAUUUAAAUUUCUAAAGGUUAUGUAAAUUGUGUGAACAUUGAAGGCUGUGUAUUUUUGACAUGAUCAAAAUACCAACAUAUAUGUCUGAUAUUUUUCUGAAUAAAGACACAAUUAUUUAUUUUUCUUAUAAUUAUAGUGAAUAGUAGAAGUAGAGCAUUUCACUACUAAUUUUUGAUCUGACAAUCAUUUCGGUGCUGAGUAGUAAAUGUUGACUUUCAACUAUUUCUUAGUUAAAACAUGUACAUAUUAUUCUACAAAUAAACAUUAAAA